rnacentral:rRNA from 1 species
GUGGGGAAUAUUGGACAAUGGGGGGAACCCUGAUCCAGCCAUGCCGCGUGGAGGAAGACUGCCCUCUGGGUUGUAAACUCCUUUUAUAUGGGAAGAACCGUCCUCAUUAAUGAGUGACCUGACGGUACCAUAGGAAUAAGCACCGGCUAACUCCGUGCCAGCAGCCGCGGUAAUACGGAGGGUGCAAGCGUUAUCCGGAUUCACUGGGUUUAAAGGGUGCGUAGGCGGAUAAAUAAGUCAGUGGUGAAAUCAACGGGCUCAACCUGUUAACUGCCAUUGAUACUGUGUAUCUUGAAUAUGAGAGAGGUAGGCGGAAUGUUGCAUGUAGCGGUGAAAUGCUUAGAUAUGCUACGGAACACCGAUUGCGAAGGCAGCUUACUAUUUCGUAAUUGACGCUGAGGCACGAAAGCGUGGGUAGCGAACAGGAUUAGAUACCCCAGUAGUCC